ACGCGAGGAACCUUACCAGGUCUUGACAUCCUCUGACACUCCUAGAGAUAGGACGUUCCCCUUCGGGGGACAGAGUGACAGGUGGUGCAUGGUUGUCGUCAGCUCGUGUCGUGAGAUGUUGGGUUAAGUCCCGCAACGAGCGCAACCCUUGAUCUUAGUUGCCAGCAUUUAGUUGGGCACUCUAAGGUGACUGCCGGUGACAAACCGGAGGAAGGUGGGGAUGACGUCAAAUCAUCAUGCCCCUUAUGACCUGGGCUACACACGUGCUACAAUGGAUAGAACAAAGGGCAGCGAAGCCGCGAGGUGAAGCCAAUCCCAUAAAUCUAUUCUCAGUUCGGAUUGCAGGCUGCAACUCGCCUGCAUGAAGCCGGAAUCGCUAGUAAUCGCGGAUCAGCAUGCCGCGGUGAAUACGUUCCCGGGCCUUGCACACACCGCCCGU
rnacentral:rRNA from 1 species